CCCACUUUAGCUCAGUUGGUAGAGCAUGGCGCUUGCAACGUCAGGGUUGUGGGUUUGUUUCCCAUGGGGGGGC
rfam:Salmo salar isolate Sally breed double haploid chromosome ssa21, whole genome shotgun sequence.